AUUGGACAAUGGGCGAAAGCCUGAUCCAGCCAUGCCGCGUGUGUGAAUAAGGUCUUCGGAUUGUAAAGCACUUUAAGUUGGGAGGAAGGGCAUUAACCUAAUACGUUAGUGUUUUGACGUUACCGACCGAAUAAGCACCGCCUAACUCGGUGCUCGAAGCCGCGGUAAGACGAAGGGUCCAAGCGUUAAUCGGAAUUACUGGGCGUAAAGCGCGCGUAGGUGGUUCGUUAAGUUGGAUGUGCAAGCCCCGGGCUCAACCUGGGAACUGCAUCCAAAGCUUGCGAGCUAGAGUACGGUAGAGGGUGGUGGAAUUUCCUGUGUAGCGGUGAAAUGCGUAGAUAUAGGAAGGAACACCAGUGGCGAAGGCGACCACCUGGACUGAUACUGACACUGAGGUGCGAAAGCGUGGGGAGCAAACAGG
rnacentral:rRNA from 1 species